rnacentral:lncRNA from 1 species
CCGGCAGCAACCUCGGCGACCGGCCUUCUUCCAAAGAGCCGCUGAGCUUGCCCGGGGCAUGCGCGCUCCUCCGGGAUCCGCCUACAAAUAGGGGCCGGCCCAGGAGCCCGGGAUCCCGGCCGUGCGAGUGUUUGGAGAGGUGGUCUGAGUUGGAGAGCUGGUCUCCAGGCCUUGAGCCUCUUUCCUCAGACACCGACCCUCUGGAAGGUCGCGGGACGGGAGCCCUUGUCCACGUUUGGACCACCCGCAGCUCGCCCGAGGUUGCCGAACUACAGCUCCCAUCAUGCCUCAUGAUCGGCUAGGACUGAUGGGUGUUGAAGUCGAGCAACAUCUGCCCCGCCGUAAAUUCUCCACAAACGGAUAUGAGUAGUAUUAUUAUAUCCUUGGCCUGAGACUGGGGCUGCAAAGCAACAGUUUAAAAUAUUGUCUUGAAAGGAUGCAAAAAACCCCAGAAAAAGACACAUUUGGGAAAAGAGGUUUUUCCUGCCCCUGUCUGCUGAAUGGCGUUGAAGUCCCCUGGCAAUAUAUGGCAAUAAGACACCAAAGCAAGGCACCUUUCAGAGGCCUGGAUCCUGCAACUGAAGGAUGUGAAAUUCUGCUGUCUCUGAGGUCAAACUGCACCUGUUUGAUUUCACCCUGAUGUGCUUGAAGAACACACUGAAGUUCUUUAAAAAAAAGGACCACUUAUGCCAAAAUCUUCAUAAGUCUUGCUCAGAAAUUAAAUUCAGAGAAUUGAAAAGCAGAUGAGUACAGUACAGUACUGUAUUCAGGCUGGAUCCAAAGUCCUCUGCUAUUAAAAUUAAAAACAAAUGACUGUGGGUGGGAGGUGCGGAGUCCUUUUCCAAGUACAGUAUACAACUCAGUCAAUGGAGCCUAUACAAGCAUUGACUUACUGAAGUCCCAUUCAUUCAGAGCUUUUAAGUGCCCUUGGGAAUAACAAAAGGUUUUAGCUAUGUGGUUUGUGAUUGGGUUCUUUCAAAUCUGAUGACAGUUCCUCCAUUUUGGUGGGAAGAAGAGGCGGAGGCCGAUGUAAUGUUUCAAUAAUUCUUGCUUUAUUAAUUUGCACAACUUCUUCAUUAAUUAUAACUGGGUCAAAACAUGGUAAUUUUUAAAAAUUGUUUUUAUCUUCUAAGUUGUGAGCUUUUUAAAAUUGUUUUUAUCUUCUAAGUUGUAAGCCGCCCAGAGUAGACUAUGUCUAGAUGGGCGGCAUAUAAAUGUAAUAAAUGCAAUAAAUAAAUAAAUAAAUAAAUAAGU